GUUUAAAAAUAAAUACGAAAAUUAAAAAAAGUACUGCAAAAUUAUUGCUUUCUACCAAGGUUUUUCGAUUACUCAAAGGGCAGUUUGGUUUCGCCAAGACACUGUUCUUCUUUGGUGUUGGUGUUGUUCGGUUGAUGGGUUCAGCUGUGCCAUAUCACCACAGCUGCUUCUCCCGGCCACCAGCUCCGCCUUCAAGGCUGGUUCCGUUGCUGUGUUUGUAACGAGAUAUAGAGGUAUGAUCAGAGAUGCCAAAGAAGAUCUGCAACACAGCACAAGUUUUUUCCACAAACCCAGUUAUUAGGCUAAUGUCAAGAGGCGUCGAUAAUUGUGGUUAUAUAGGUGGCUUGAUUUUAGGAGCAGCAGUUUACUGGUCUGUAUGACCUCCAUGGAAGUAUGAAUCUAUGACCAGCAAUGGCCAAAGAAUAUUCUCAGACUGAAAACCAUUUUUUACCUUACUGACAGAAAGCUGAAACCUCGAUGAACCAGUGUAAGUAUUGACAAUUGUGACACAGGCUCUGAUUUAAAUUGGUUGCAGCUAUCCUAUGUGCAAAGUAUAGCAAGGGGUUUGCAAGGUAGAAGUGAAUUCUAAUCGAACCAGUGAUAUACCAGAACAUAAUUGAAGGGAUGAUGGUGAUUUCCCUAGCCAUAUUCUGAUACAUCACUGACCGUUCAGAGUUCACCACCAUUUCUGUAUUGCAUUUUAGCAAAACAAUCUGUUUUCUGAUAUCUGUAGUGUAGUGAAGUUUGAAGUGAAGAUGGCCCUUUUUUUAUAUUGAAGCUCGUUGAAUCUUGACCAUUGAUUUAUGAUUAUUACACUUAAUCAUAUCCGUUAAAAAAUGGGAAACUUAAUUAAUGCUAGCAUUUAUAAAAAUUCCUUAUAUGGCAUUAUGCAUAUCCACCACCCACCACUUUAGAUUAUCAUUUAGUGUUAGUGAGAUAGAAGUUUCUGUUUAUCUUUACUAAUACAAAAAAAUAUAUCCGCGUUUGGUGCAUGAGUUAAUCGUAGACAAUAAAAUUAUGGAAUUAUAGUAGAUUUUUUAGAAAAUACAACUAGAUCUACAUGCAGGGAGGCUCAAGUGGUAUCAUACUUGCAAGUAGAUUGCCUAUAUAACUUAGGUUGGUGCUUCAAGCCUCCUCACACAUAAAUGAUUUCCAUAAUUAAUGUUAGACACUAUAGUGGCACCUCUCCAGUGAGUUUUGCAGGUCAUAUCUCCGUCAACCGAGGUGCUCUCGACUCUACGAAUCCACACCUACGGCAGGCCUCUUAAAGCAGUCGGGCUCUCAGCAAUUUCAGAAGGAUAAAACUCCGCCACGGGAAAAAUGCCUUAUAUUGUUAGGGGUUCAAUUGUCUUAUUGACAAAAGAGAGAUUUGGAGUUUGGCCACAUCUUCUCUUUUGCAUGCUAAUAUCGGAAACCUUAUGGUCAAUUGUUAUUCUUUGAAUUCUGUUUGACCUACUAUGGAGAAUUUAAGUGGUCCAAGAAGAUCCCUUGCAGUUUACUUCACCUCUGCUCUUUCAAACAGAGGUUUGAUCAGAGAUGCCAAAGAAGAUCUGCAGAACAUGGCACAAGUUAUUUUCCCAAACACGCUAUGUGGCUUCUUGGAGGAGCAGCAGAGUCCUGGCUUAUAGGACCUGCAUGGAAGUAUGAUUUUGACUCAGUCAAAGAAAACUAGGUGCCGCCACAAGUUACCGGUUCUUCAAAGCACCCGCAGUUGGUACAUCAGGCGUAAUAAUUGGAUGAGUAAGUCAUCUCGAACUUAUUCGCAAAAUAAGAUUAAUGUUCAUAAGAACCUGUUCCAACUAAUGAUUGUCUGCCUAGAAAAUUUAGGACUUUGGUGAGGAAUAGCUUGCUCUGAGACAUACAAUAGAACCGGUCAACAGUAAGAGUUCAUAACUUAAAAUCUACAUUGACAACUCAAUUUCAAGUCUUAAUUAUGGAAUUAAUUUUCUCGUGUUUUAGAGAAUGAUUUAUAGGAAGAAUUCAUUUUUCACGAAACAAACAUGUGAAAAUAAUGAAAAUGUUUUUCUAAAAACUUUUUACAAGUAAAGAAACAGAUCCUUAAUUUCUAUUUAAAUUGUCUAUUUUUAUAAGGACUAGUCUCAUCCAACACAGCUUAACUGAAAUUCUAUAGGUUGGCAUGGUGACAGCUUAGAAUUGCUUAUGCUUAUCUCAAGUUUGUUACUGUUCCAAGUCACAAACCAAAAAAUAACUCAUCAAAAUAUAUUUGAACCACAAAACUUUAAGGGUACGUUUGGUUCACUGUAAUGGAAUAGAGCUGUAAUGGAAUAAAGCUGUAAUCAGUAAUUCAAUUGUUUGAUUGAAUGGAAUGGAAUAGAACUGUAAUAGUCUUCUUGUGUUUGGUUGAAUGAAAUGAUGUUGUAAUAGCAUAAGGAAAAAACUAAAAUGACUAGAAUACCUAUAGUAGAAUUUUUUUAGGUAGAUGAUUAUUGUUAUUGUUAUUAAAUUUUAAUAAGAUUAUUAUUAAAAGUAAUAAAUAAUUUAAUCAUAUUUUAACAUAAUUAUUAUUAAAUAUAAUUUAAUAAAUUCUUAAUAUAAUUAUUAUAUGAAUUAAAAAUCGAAUAUAUAAUAUAAUAAAAAUAAUAUAUAAUCUACUUUAUUAUUUUUAAACUGCAAUACAUAUUUAAUGUGCUAAAAUAUUAUUAGUGAAACAAAUAAUUUAAUCAUUCUACAAUAAAAACAAAAUAUUAGAAGUAAUAAAUAACUUGAGAAUUAUAUUUCACAUCCAAACAUAAUAUUCAUAUAUUAACAAAAAGUUACAUGAUUUCAUUAGUUUAUCAUAAUCAUAUAUUAUAAAAUUUUACAACAUUGUAAUGACAUUCUAUCAUGUCAUUAUACCAUACAAAUAUUACAAACACAAAAAGUUACCAAAAUAUCAUCAACACAACCAUGCUUUUUAAUGGUCAAAAAGUUACCAAAAGGAAAUAAGUUCCAAAAGAAGAUGCUGCGUUAGUUGCCUGUAUGGUCGACUUGCCCAAUCUUGAAACUUUUAAUGCUGAUACGGGAUUCAAAGCUGAUUAUUUAAAUGAGUUGGAAAAAAUGUUAGAAAAAGUUUUACCCAAUGCCAUGUUGAAGGCUAAACCUAAUCUUAAAUCGAGAAUUAGGACAUUAAAAAUGUAUUGAUCAAUCGUUUAUGACAUGCUUAGUGGAAAACAUAAUAACGAUUUUGGUUGUGAUGAGUAUAGGCAACUUGUUGUUGCUGAAGAUACGGCGUGGAACUCAUAUAUAAAUAGUUAUAAAGAAGCCUGUCAAUUCAAACAUCGUAGUUUCCCUUAUUAUGACCAACUUACUGUUAUCUACGCAAAAGAUCGAGUCACUGGGAAAGAUGCUCAAACAACUGCUGAUAUUAUUGAAGAAAUAGAUGUUGAGGAUGUAGCUACUACAAAUAUUCAUGAACAAAGAAACGAUUUUUAUUGAUGCGAAGCUGAUGUUUCUUUGAAUGAUAUGGAUGUUUCAUCUAUACAACCGCAACCAGAUAGAAACCAAGGCGAUUCCACAUUUUCAAAGAAGAAAAAAAAUUUCUGAUGCAAGUGAUCAUAUUUCUUCUUCAUUUCAUGAUGCUGCCACUUUAUUGGCGGAAAACACACGGAUCGUUGGCGUUGAAAUCAGUAAGAGUAUUGCCUUCAAAGUGUUAAUUCAACAAAAGUCAGAAAUGACCAUUCAAGAAAGAGCUCUAAAAUUAUAUCCAACAUUAUGUGAAGUAGAAGAUUUAACUAAAGAUGAGCGCUAUCGUGCAUUGAGCAAAAUUCCAGAUCAUCCAAUGCAAAUGCUAAUUUUCUUUAGUUUACCUUCUUCUGUGCGAUUGGAAUGGGUCAGAAGAUUUCUUGCUGACCAUUAAAAACCAUGGUUGUGUUGAUGAUAUUUUGGUAACUUUUUGUGUUUGUAAUAUUUGUAUGGUAUAAUGACAUGAUAGAAUGUCAUUACAAUGUUGUAAAAUUUUAUAACAUAUGGAUUAUGAUAAACUAAUGAAAUCAUGUAAUUUUUUGUUAA